GGCGCCUCACAUCCUUCACCCCGCGCUAUAUUACAAUAAGUCGGUCAUGGCAAGGCGUCCAGGUUCAGAGCUUCUGUCUUCUUCGAUUCCUUGGUUUGGUUUCCUUAGAUAAUCAAAUUCUGCUUUUGCUCCUGUGGUCUUAGGGUUUGGAUUUUAUUCGUGAUCAUGGCUGCCGAUGUUAUAGAGCCACGGUUUAUUGGUUCAGCGGUUAACUCCUUCCAGUUUGUUUCUUUUCUUAACAGUCUUUUAUGGUUCGUUGUUUUUGGGGUUGGAUUAUUCGAUUUUGAUCGAGAUCGAUUGUGGUUUUUGUUGCUGUGAUUUAGGACUGGACUGGGCCGAGGUCUAUAUAAGCAAACAGUUUUGUAAAUCGGUUUAUUGGUUUUGCAGAGAUCGACUUAUUGUUUCGUUAAUUUCAUUACUUCUUUUUCAGAAUCUGCCUGGAUUGUGAUGCAUCAUGGUUUUGUUGAUGUGUUAUUAGGAUUUGGCCGGUGAAAGGCUGCAGUCCGUACAUAUAGCCAUGGGCAGAGCUUCGGCUUUUAUCGGUUUACACGGAUUGAAUCUAAAUCGAUCUACUUUCUUUACCUUCCUUUACAAACUGCUAUUAUGUGAUGUAUUUUUUGCCUGCCUUCUAUGAACCGAGUUAUGGAUGGUUUUUGUUCCUAUUGGUCAGGAUACGACUCGGUGGUGGCUGCUAGGAGUUUUUGUUCCCAGGCUUAUUCGGAUUCGGUUUUUCCUUGUCAAUAAUUUUUUUUGAUACCUGAUCAACUCAUGUUGAAACCUUCUUUUGGCACGUUCUAUAUCUAAGUGGAUCAAGUUUUUCCUUGCUCUGUUUUAGGGUGUGCUGGCGUGCUGGUCACAGCUAGCAAGCAGCUGUGGUGCUUCUUGUGCUCUCUGUGGUUUCCAAAAUUCAACUUAUUCCAUUCGAUUAUCUUCCAUUCUUUCCCAAACCCUAUUUUUGAUUUUGACUUUAGGAUUUGUCUGGUAUAUUGGUAGGUGCAAGUGCUGGGCAGAGUUAAGAUUAUGUGAUUCGGCCGUAUUUGGUUUGGCAAUCAACCGUUCUUCUCUCAAAAUCUUUGUUUUUUUUUUCUUUACUAGUUGUCUGCUCGGGUGUAGAUUGAGUUGUUGUUGGUGGUCUUUAAUUAGGAGAAUUUUGGCUGCGCUGUUUGCAAUGGCUAUUCAAGCAGGAGUUAGAGGUUUCAGUUGAUUUCAUCGGUCAAACUGCUGCUCCUUAAUUAAUUUUCUACCUUUCUAAAAUAACAUUUUGCUUGAAUUCUGUUUUGCGCUCAUGUAACACUUACUUUUGUGUAGGGAUUGGCUUUAACAAGCAGGAAUUGCCUGGUUUUUGCAAUUUGUUAUUUCGUUCAAAUAUUUAAUCUCUCUUAAAGUUUUUGGUGAUUCUCGUUUUUCUUUUUCUUUCAUAAAUGCUUGUUUGGUUUAAUUCACAGUUGCUGCUGAAUUAGGAUUCUCCAGUUCACUGACAGCACUCUGUUUUGGCCCGCAUAUCGCAUACUUUAUGCAGGAGGGGGUUUGAUUCUUCUCGGCUUGCGAUUUAGUUUUCUGUUUUGAUAUGGAUUACUGGGUCAUGAUAUGAUGAAAUAUGUUCUGCUUGUGUAUUCCAGGGUGGUUAAAGGAGGUUGUAAAAUUGAGGAAAUGCACUUCUUCACGAGGGGGUUUGAUGCUUCUUGGCUAAAUAAUUUAAUUACAGAACAAAACUCUCUAUAAGUCAUUCAACAGAUACUGAACUUCUAAAUGAUGGAUGAUGUGUAUUAUCAGGAUCAAAGAGGAUUACAAUGCUUCAACUAAUGAGAUUAGAUAUUGAAAUCGGAUUUUCGCUUUGCUGGUGUGCCAAGCAAUGGAUAGAGCUUCAGCUUUCAUCGGUUUACACUUUACACAUUAAAAUAUGAUAAUUUUACCUACCUUUUAAAUUAUUUAAAACUAUUAUGUGAUGCUUGCUUUUGGGCUGUCUCCUAGAGUCUCGAGUUAUGGAUGGGUAUUGCUCCUAUUGGUUUAGGCUACAGCUCAGUGGUGGUGGCGGCUAAGAGUUCUUUUUUUCCCAGGCUUAAUUGGUUAAUCGGUUUUGGUGAUCGACUCAUUCUUUCUAAAUUUUGGUUGAUACCUUGUUUUUGGCACGUCUUAGAUCUAAGUGGAUCAAGUUUUUCAUUCGUCUGUUUUAGGCUGUGCUGGUAUGUUGGUGAUGGCUAGCAAGCAGCUGUGGUGCUGUGUCUCGGCUCUUGGUUUCCAAAAUCCAAUUUAUUCCUUUCAAUUAUUUUCCAUUCUUGUCCAAACCCUAUUGUGACUUUAGGAUUUGGCUGGUAUUUUGGUAGGUGCAUGUACUGGGCAGAGCUUAUGUGAUUCGGCUGUAUUUGGUUUGGCGGUCAACCGCUCUCUCUCUCUCUCUGUUUUUUUUUUUUCCAAUUUUUUCUUCAGCUUUCUGGUUUAGAUUGAGUUGUUAUUGGUGUUCUUUAGGAGAAGUUUGGAAUUUGGCUGCUGUGCUUGCAAUGGCUAUGUAUGCAGGAGUUGGGGUUUUUCAGUUGGUUUUGUCAGUCGAACUGUUCCUUUUUAAUCAACUUUCUACCUUUUUUUUAAAUAAAAUCUUGCUUGAAUUCUUUUUGCACUCAUGCUACAUUUAUUGAUCUGUAUCAGGUAUUGGUUUACCAAGCAGGAGUUCCCUGGUUUCUGCAAUUUGUUCUUUCCUUCUAAAUAUUUUAUCUUUCUCAGAGUGUUUGGUGAUUCUCGUUUUUCUUCGUAAUUACUUGUUUGGUUUUUAAUUUACAGAUGCUGCUCAAUUUUGUAAAGGAUUCUCCAAUUCUCAAAUCACACAGAUUGAUGUUAAAACGGUUUGGUUUACUGACAGCACUCUGUUUUGGCCCUCGUAUUGUAUUGCUAGGAGUAGGAAUUCAUGCAUAAGGGGGUUUGAUGCUUCUCAGCUUAGUUUUCUGUUCAACAAUGAUGUGAUGAAACUAUGUUCUGCAUGUGUAUUUCAGGGUGAUUAGAGGUUGUAAUCUGCACAAGGGGGAUUAAUGCUUCUUGGCUAUACAGAAAAUCUUUAAUUGAGAAAUUCUUAGUCAUUCAACAUACUGAACUUCACGGAUGAUGUAUUGGGGUGAUGUGUAUUAUUAUUCAGUAAUUACAAUGCUUCACUUAUUAAUAUUAGAUUUUGAAAUUGGAUUUUUGCUUUGCUGGUGUGUUAAUAGGGUUUGGCUUUUAUUGGAGAUACUGCCUAUAGACCAAGCGGUCUUGUACGGUUUAUUGGUUUCAGCGGUCAACUCAGCCCUUCAUUGAUAUAUUCCUUCUCUUAAAAUCUUUCCUGAUUUGUUGUUCUGUGGUUGGAUGAUUCUGUUUUGAUGGAGAUCAGUUGGGGUUUUUGUUGAUGUGCUAGGAUUUGGCUUGUUUGAUGGUGGUGGCUGCCGGGCUUUAUGUAGCGAAUUGUUUUGUAAACGGGUUUAUUGGUUUCAGUGAUCAAGUUUUCUAAAAUUUUAUUCCUCCAAAUCUUCUUGAUUCAAUUUGGAUCAUGAUGUAUCAUGGUUUUAUUGAUGUGUUUUAGGAUUUGGCUGGUGGAGGCUGCAGUCCGGACGAGUUAUUUGGAUUGGUGGUGGUGAUGGUUUGCAAUAAUUUUUGUUCCAGGCUUUAUUGGUUUCACCUUAUCAGUAAUCAACUCAUUCCUUCUCAUUUUGGGCAUGUUUUAGAUUUCAGUGGAUUAAGAUUCCUUGUGCUGUGGCUUUUUCGGUUUCCGUGCUGAACUAUUUUGUUCCUUUCUUAUUCAUCUUCAUCUUCCUUGUCAAAAUCUCUUCAGAAAACACUGUCAGACCUCUUUUCUGUUCUGUUUCAGAUCGAGGAUUUUCAGGUUUUUGGUGCUGUGUUGGUAAUGGCUACUAUGACAAGCAGGAGUUUGGGUUUGUCAAUUGGUUUGAGUGAUCAUCUUGCUCCAUCCUUAGAUUAACUUCUUAUCUGGGUUCAUGCUUAUAUGGAUGAGUAUCAGGGACUGGUUGAGUCCGAAAGUGUUCUGUCUAAUUGGUUUCCUGGUUUCUGUUUUUUGUCCUUCAAAUCUUUGGUUUCGCUUAAAAUAUUUAAAAUCUUUUGUGAUUGGUUUUUUAAUUACAGAUGCUUCCGAAUUAUGGAUCCAAUGCUCAAAUCAUACGGAUUGGGGUUUAAAUGGUGGUUACAGGAGAUUGUUAAAAAGGAGUAUGCAUCUAUUCACGAGGGGGUUUGAUGCUUAUUGGCUUAAGAUUUAAUAUCGGUAAAUUCUUAAAUUUAGUAAUCUGUAGUCCAAUCGGCAGAUACUGAACUUCUAGAUGAUGGGUGUUGUGUAUUUUCAGGAUUGAAUAGGAUGGGUUUCACUUCUCAGUGGAUUAUACUCGGGUGUACGAUGCUUCACUUAUAUUUUGACUUUUAUUGUUGGUGCUGCCUAUGCUAUAGAGCAAGCAGUUUUGUGAUUCGGUCUAUUGGUGUCAGCGGUCAACUCAGUCCUUUUGCUAAAUUGUCCCCUCCCUUGACAAUCCUUCCUGAUUUGUUGUUUUUGCGGUUGGAUUCGAUUGAUAAGAUGGAUUUUGUUGGUGUGAUUUAGGUUAUCUGGUUUGGUGGUGACGGUUGUCGAGCUCUAUGUAGCGCAUCAUUGUGUAACUGGUUUAUUGGUUUCAAAGUUCCAACUUGUUUCAAAAAAUUAUUCUUCUCCACAUUUUCUUGACUGUGAUGCAUCAUGGUUUCGUUUGUGUUUUAGGAUUUGGCUGGUGAAGGCUGCAGUCCAUAGGCUGCUUCAGCUUUAUUGGUUUCCACGAUUACAUCCUGCUAUCUUGCAUUUGAACUUUCUUUGUUUUUAAUUUUAAUUUUAUUUUUAUAUACUUGCUUAUAGAUGGAUAUUAUCGGUACUGAUUUAGGAUACUGCUGGUGCGGUGGUGAUAUGGAGUAUGCAUCUCUUCAUGAGGGGGUUUGAUGCUUCUUGCCUUUAAUAUCAAAUAUCUUCAAUUGAGUAUUUCUUAUCCUUUAGUCACUGAACUUCUAGAUUAUGUGUAUACUCAGUCAGGUGGACUUCAGUUUAGAUAUUGGCUGCUAUGCUAUUGGGUUUUCUCUUCCAUUGUUGAUGCUAUUGGGUUUUCUCUUCCACUGUCGAUUUACAGCGGCCAACUCAAUCCUUUGCUAAUAUUUCCCUUCUCUUAACUAUAAUUCCUGAUUUGUAUUCCUUCCCCAAAUCUUUCAAUUCUUUCAAUUUUCAGUUUAGGAUUUGGCUGUUGAAGGCUAUAUAAUGGGCAGAGCUUCGGCUUUAUUGGUUUUCAUGAUUCAUACCUGCUAUCUUCUCUCAAACUAUUUUUUAUUAUUUUUUUAUUUUUUUGUACUUGCUUAUAUUUAUUUGUAUUGGUUUAGGAUACGGUUGCUGCGGUGUUGAUGGUUAUGCAAGCUUUUGCUCCCAGGCUUCAUCGGUUUCACUGUAUCAGUGAUUAAAUCCUUCCUUCUCAAUUUCUGAUCUGAUUGUUUUGAGACAUGUUUUAGGUUUCACUGGAUCAGGUUUUUCUAGGCUGUGGUUGGGGUGUUUCAUGUGCUUCUGUUCUAUUCUUUCCAAGAUGAACUUAUUCCUUUUUAUUAUCUGCAUUCUAUUCAUAUUAUUAUUUGUACGGGUCUAUAUAGGACUUGGCUGAUAGCUUGGAUGGCUGUAAGGGCAGGAGUUGAAUCAAGUUUUUUGUCUUUUUUUGGUUUGGGCGAUCAACUCCUUUCCUAUUUUCUGUUGCUUUUUUCAAAAUGUUGUCAUAUAUAUAUAUAUAUAUAUAUAUAUAUAUAUAUAUUUUUUUUUUCAGUAAUAAGAUCAUUAGCAAUCAUCUCAUUCCUUCUCAAACAGCUUUUUUUGGCUCAUGCUAUGUUAUUGUGUAUCGGGGUUUGGUUUCACAAAGUUGGAGCAUGGGCACUUUUGCUAUUUGUCCUUUCUCAAAACCUUUUGUGAUUGUGGAUUUUUUUUUCCCUCCCUCUAUACUUCUUUUUGGCUUCUGAAAUUCUUUAAAAUGGUUUGGCACACUGACGUUUACUAAUUCUUUUUCCCUUUACUAGUUUCGCUUCACAUAUUGCAAGUCAUGGUGGUUUUAUCGCUAGGAGUAGCACCAUAGAUUCAUGUAGGAAGAGGUUUGAUAAUUCUUGGCUUACAAGUUUUUCUAAAAUUUUCUGUUUCGGUAUGGGUUAGCGAGUCAUUCAACAAUAAUAUGAUUGGAGUAUGGUCUGCACGAGUUUUUCAGGGUUGUUAGUAGUAGUAGUUGAAGGCGAGCGGGAGUUUGGGUGCGGUGGCUUGUGUUUCAGGAGUUUUUUUCUUUUGAUUGAUUCUUUCCAAAACUUAUCGAGUCUUUUCGUUAAUAAAACACUCUGUUUGGGUUUUCUAUCUACAGAUGCUGUUUGAUUUCGCCAAAAAAUGAUCACUAAAUAGGUUUGGCAUCAUGGAUCUUUACUUCAUAUUCGGUGUUCUUGUUCUUAUGCUGGUUUGAUCUUCUUGUUUUUCGAUCACUAAAGGAGUAGUGUAUCCUAAUGCUUCUGAAUAAAUGAAGUAAAGACUGCUUAUUAAAAUUUGUACCUCUGCUGUAGGGUUUGAGAUUCUCUGCCCUAAAAUUAAUUUUUGAUAAUUUUUAACAGUUAUCUGAACUCCCUAUCAAUGUUGAAUGUGUUUUGUCUAUCUUCAGGUUUGGUACGGAAGGUUUCUUUUCAAGAGUGGGUUUUGAUUUUGGUUGGUCUGUUGGUAAGACGAGCAGUUUUGUGAUCCAGUGGUCAAUUUGAUUCCUAUGUUUCUCAUAUCCUGAUUGCUACUAGAAAUUGGCUGUGAUGCCUCAUGGUACUUGCUGCUUAUAGUUGAAAGGGUUUCUCACACAUUCCACUGGUCAUUGCUUUUUGCCAGUUGUAUUGUUUUUGCUGCCUUUGGAGUUUGUUUGAUAGUGUGAUGUUCUAGUAUUGAAACUGGCUGGCAGAAGUUGUUUAUUUGGAGAUAGUUCCUGCUCUUCUGCUUGAUGUCUACUUUGGUGAUGUCUUCUUGUUGAAAGUGCUGGUUGAUAUAUCGUUCUGGAGUAUAAGAACAAUUGCCCUUCUUUUUAUGGCGCCAAGACUGUGCUAUAUUUAAUGACCAGUAAGAUUCUCUGUGCCUCAUCAAGUGUCUAUGAAAAAACUUUGUGGAAUGAAGAAAAACUUUGUUUAAUGAAGAUCAUUGCAUGUUGUUUCAUUAUUGGAAAUUGGCUUGGUGUUGACUUCCAGUGUUCACAAGGGGGUCCUGUGCUUGUAUAAUUGUUGGUGGUGUUUCCGCAGCUUUGAUUAAGUGCUGUAUUUUUCUAUCAAUGCCUUGUGAGCUGCCUUCCUCUUCUCUAAGUUGUCUCCAAGUUUGAUCCCUUGUUUAAACUUCUUUUCUCUGCGGGUGGUUUUUUAUGCUUCGGAGUUGGUUUCUUUGGGGCAUGAUGCUAUGUUUUCGAGCUCAGUUGGUUGAACUUGUCCGUGUCUUUGAUGUAGGUAUGUAUGUCUUUGUUGGGUGGAAAAUAUAACGAGUAUGCUAUCACUAACGUGCAUUGAAUUAGGUUUUUAGGUUGUAAUUACUAGGUAGUAAUUAGGUACUUAGGUUAGGUUAAUGGGAUGUAGCUCAAAUAUGGUAGAGCUCUCGGGCUUGUAACUUGCAUCUCCAAGUCUCAAGAUUUUCGAGAAGAUCAAGGUUCAAAUCCUUGUGUCCCACUAUUUGAUUCUUUAUUAUGUUCAAGUACAGUGUUCUAGGAAAAA